rnacentral:rRNA from 1 species
AGAGCGGCGUACGGGUGCGGAACACGUGNGACACGUACCUUUAUCAGGGGAUAGCCCUUUCGAAAAGGAAGAUUAUACCCCAUAAUAUAUUUAAUGGCAUCAUUAGAUAUGAAAACUCCGGUGGAUAGAGAUGGGCACGCGCAAGAUUAGGUAGUUGGUAGGGUAACGGCUACCAAGUCAGUGAUCUUUAGGGGGGCCUGAGAGGGUGAUCCCCCACACUGGUACUGAGACACGGACCAGACUCCUACGGGAGGCAGCAGUGAGGAAUAUUGGACAAUGGGUGAGAGCCUGAUCCAGCCAUCCCGCGUGAAGGACGACGGUUCUAUGGAUUGUAAACUUCUUUUAUAUAGGGAUAAACCUCUUUACGUGUAAAGAGCUGAAGGUACUAUAUGAAUAAGCACCGGCUAACUCCGUGCCAGCAGCCGCGGUAAUACGGAGGGUGCAAGCGUUAUCCGGAUUUAUUGGGUUUAAAGGGUCCGUAGCGGAUCUGUAAGUCAGUGGUGAAAUCUCAUAGUUAAUUAUGAAGUGCAUUGAUUAUGAGGUCUUGAGUAAAGUAAAAGUGGUGGAAUAAGUAUUGUAGGUGAAAUGUUAGAUUUUAUU